rnacentral:misc_RNA from 1 species
UCUCCGUAGGUGAACCUGCGGAGGGAUCAUUGCAGAGUUCAUGCCCUACCGGGUAGAUCUCCCACCCUAUGUUAUUAUUACUUUGUUGCUUUGGCGGGCCGUUAGGCUCCGGCCCGACUACCGGCCCCGGCUGGUAAGCGCCCGCCAGAGGACCCAAAACCCUGAAUAUUAGUGUCGUCUGAGUACUAUAUAAUAGUUAAAACCUUCAACAACGGAUCUCUUGGUUCUG